rnacentral:rRNA from 1 species
CCUACGGUGGGCAGCAGUGGGGGAUAUUGCACAAUGGGGGAAACCCUGAUGCAGCGACGCCGCGUGAGGGAAGAAGGAUUUCGGUAUGUAAAGCUCUAUCAGCAGGGAAGAAAAUGACAGUACCUGACCAAGAAGCACCGGCUAACUACAUGCCAGCAGCGGCGGUACUACGUAGGGUGCAAGGGUUAUACGGAUUUACUGGGUGUAAAGGGAGCGUAAACGGUUAUGUAAGUCUGGAGUGAAAGCCCGGGGCUCAACUCCGGGACUGCUUCGGAAACUGUGUAGCUGGAGUUCAGUAGGGGCAGGCGGAAUUCCUGGUGUAGCGGUGAAAUGCUUAGAUAUCAUGAGGAACACCGGCGGCGAAGGCGGCCUGCUGGACUGAUACUGACGUUGAGGCUCGAAAGCGUGGGGAGCAAACAGGAUUAGAUACCCUUGUAGUC